UUAUGCAUUUCACGGUGAGGUCUACAGCGGUUGUAUUCGGCGCAUGUGACAAAUGCAAUUUUAUUUUAUUUUAUCCUCUUUGGCCUCCCUCAAAGAUUUCACAUUCAACGUUAUGCUGCCCUCUGUUGGACAAAGUAUGAAUGCGUAGUGGUAAAGACAGGUCUCACGACUAUUCAUUCCUUGAAUAACAGGAACGAUUUACCAGAGGUGUAUGUAUUCAUUACGGAAACCGUUUACCGUUUAAGAACCAACAGAAGCUAAACAAGAGUUUCUGUUGGACAAAUUCAGCCAAGGUCGAUAAGGCCUACCCUGAGAGAAUUCAAAGCUGGAACUGCGUCGCAAAGGCCCUGAUGGAUGUGUUGGGAAACAACAUAAUACACAUCAACAUCAUGGAAAUCAACAAGUGUAUUUGUGUUCAUUCCAUUUACCAAGCACUGCCAAUUGAAUAGACUAGACAAUAGCACAAUACAACCAACUGUAUUGUGUACCUGCUGUUUUUCAGUUGUCAUGAUGAUGCAGACAAGAGUCUACUUGUUUUGACUAGCUAGUAACAUUAGCAUUUCAUUACACCCGUUAUAACAUCUGCUAAACUGUGUACUAGACCAAUAAACUUCGAUUUAAAUAUG